rnacentral:rRNA from 1 species
ACCUUAAGAUUGAGUAAAAUAAUUUAGUUAGGUAGUUAAUUAAGAUUUAUUUGGUUAAUUAAAUUUAUUUUAAUAAAAAGUAAAAUUAGAUUGUUAAUUAGUAAAUUAAAUUAAUCAAAAAUAAAAUGAGGCUAUGAAAGCCGGGGCAUGAACUAGGAUUAGAUACCCUAUUACACCCAGUAGAAAAGAAUAGCGCUUGAGUAUUAAUAGUUAUAUUCUUUAAAUUCAAAGAAUUUGGCGGUAUUUUAGUCCCGUUAGAGGAACCUGUUCUUUAAACGAUAAAACACGUAAAAUCUUACUUAAUUUUAUUGUAGUUUGUAUACCGUCAUUAUUAAAUAAUCUUGAAAGAGUCAACUAUUGGGGCUGACAGAGUAAGUUAAAUGUAUUAGAUCAAGGUGCAGCUUAUAGUUAAGUAGAAAUGGGUUACAAUAAUAUACACAUUUAGAACGAAUUGUAAAUAGAAUUAUUUACAGGAAGGUGGAUGUAAUUGUAAAAAUAAUUUAAUAAGAUAUUUUGAGAUAGGCUCUAAAUUAUGUACACAUCGCC